GUGUGUGUGUGUGUGUAGAUUAAACAUGAACGGGCCAAAACGGACAUGGCAGCAGGUCAAAAUCAAAUACAAGAACAUUCUGCAGAAUGCAGUGAAAAAGAAUACCCACAGACAAGGCACGGGUGGUGGGUCACCAAAGGCUGACCUUACCCCAGCAGAGGACAUGGCCUUGGAGCUAAAUAAAGGCAGGCCCGUCUUAGAGGGGAUCCCUGGGGGAAAGAGACGAGCAUAGGUUCCUCCCAAGAUGCCACCCGCUUCAUUCAAGUGCCUGGCAGCACUGUGUUCCUGUUAGAGCCACCAGCACAAGCACCAGACGAUGCUGAUCCAGGUGAAGGCCCCAGUGCAGCAGCAACAGCACAUGAUGGAGACGAUGAUGAGGAGGAGACCAUCUCUCUGGAUUCCAGAAGGCAUGAGGACCCAGAUGCUAUACAGUGGGAAAACCAGCCUGGCAACAGUGCGUAUUAAUAAAAGGACACCACAUCCUGCCAAAUUCCAGCUGCGCUAAUUGUAUUGUGUUCACAGAGCUCACAAGCUAUCAGAAAGUUGAAUGGCAACCACCUCCGGCGCCAAAUAGAACUGGCAGACAUAGACAUUCAGUACAAGAAGAAAAAGAUGGAAAAUCUUGCACUGGAGUCCAAAA